rnacentral:rRNA from 1 species
AACGAACGCUGGCGGCGCGCCUAAUACAUGCAAGUCGAGCGAGAAGACGUAGCAAUACGUUUGUAAAGCGGCGAACGGGUGAGGAAUACAUGGGUAACCUACCCUCGAGUGGGGAAUAACUAGCCGAAAGGUUAGCUAAUACCGCGUACGCUCCUUGGACUUCGGUUCAGGGAGGAAAGCGAUACCGUGGGUAUCGCGCUCUUGGAUGGGCUCAUGUCCUAUCAGCUUGUUGGUGAGGUAACGGCUCACCAAGGCUUCGACGGGUAGCUGGUCUGAGAGGACGAUCAGCCACACUGGCACUGCGACACGGGCCAGACUCCUACGGAGGCAGCAGUGGGGAAUCUUGCGCAAUGGGCGAAAGCCUGACGCAGCGACGCCGCGUGAGGGAUGACGGCCUCGG